rnacentral:rRNA from 1 species
AACGAACGCUGGCGGCAGGCCUAACACAUGCAAGUCGAGCGAACCCUUCGGGGUUAGCGGCGGACGGGUUAGUAACGCGUGGGAAUAUACCCUUUGGUACGGAAUAGCCUCGGGAAACUGAGAGUAAUACCGUAUGUGCCCUUCGGGGAAGAUUUAUCGCCAAAGGAUUAGCCCGCGUUGGAUUAGAUAGUUGGUGGGGUAAUGGCCUACCAAGUCUACGAUCCAUAGCUGGUUUGAGAGGAUGAUCAGCAACACUGGGACUGAGACACGGCCCAGACUCCUACGGGAGGCAGCAGUGGGGAAUCUUAGACAAUGGGCGCAAGCCUGAUCUAGCCAUGCCGCGUGGACGAUGAAGGCCUUAGGGUUGUAAAGUCCUUUCAGAUGGGAAGAUAAUGACGGUACCAUCAGAAGAAGCCCCGGCUAACUCCGUGCCAGCAGCCGCGGUAAAGUCUGUACU